UCGAUUUUCGCGCUUCAUCCGUUGGAAAACAAUCUCCAAAGCGCUGAAAUCUCCGGAAUUGGCAUGGUGUUCGAUAAGCGAGUAGAAUGUGGAGUCGCCCCUUCUGUAAGAACCAAGCUUUGGAGAAUUUACGAAUAUUUUAUCAGAUAUUGGAGGUGAAAGGAGAUAAUGGUUUACUUAGUCAAAGUUUGCUUACUUAGUCUUGUUUCUGUUUGGGAUAAGUCCUAUUCUUUAGGAAUAUUGUUAUUCCAGCUAAUGUUUAUCUCGUAGCUUAAUUUUUGCUUUCUGUUAGAAUUGUACUAGGAUAUAUAUCCCAGAGUGCACAUCAAUAAGGUUGUUCAAGUCAUUCAUUCCAUCUCUGUUGUGAGUUUAUACAUUAUUUAUUCCCAACAAAGUGGCAUCAGAGCCCCACUGGGCCUGAGAGAAAGAGACUGACUUCCAAACCAAGAGAGAUUUAAACACGAGUGUUUGAGAGAUAUGUCAGGUGAGGGUUCUUUCGUUCAACCAGCUAUUCCACGCUUUGAUGGUCACUACGACCAUUGGAGUAUGCUUAUGGAAAAUUUCUUGAGAUCCAAGGAAUAUUGGGGUUUGGUUGAGACCGGAUAUGAAGAAUCAAAAGCAGGGGAAACUCUGACAAAGGAACAACAAAAGGAGCUUGACGAUCUGAAAUUGAAAGAUCUUAAGGUGAAGAAUUACCUUUUCCAGGCAAUCGACAGAACAACAUUGGAAACCAUAUUGGUGAAGGACACCGCUAAAGAUAUAUGGGAGUCGAUGAAGAAGAAAUUCGAGGGGAGCGCCAGAGUGAAGCGCUCGGUUCUUCAAGCUUUGAGGAGAGAGUUUGAAACUCUCGAGAUGAAAUUCAGUGAAAGUAUUACUGAAUACUUUGCUCGUGUUAUGACAGUAGCUAACAAAAUGAGGGUGAAUGGGGAACAAAUGAGAGAUGUUACAAUUGUGGAGAAGAUCCUUCGAACUUUGACAGAAAAGUUCAAUUAUGUAGUUGUCUCGAUUGAAGAAUCCAAGGACAUUGAUUUACUCACAGUUGAUGAAUUGCAAAGCUCACUCAUUGUGCAUGAACAGAAGUUCCACAGAUACAAUGGAGAAGAGCAAGCCUUAAAAGUUACCGUGGACGAGAGAAACCGAGGAAGAGGACGUGGCAGAGCGAAUUUCAGAGGACGAGGUCGAGGAAGAGGGCGACUAAGUUUCUCGAAAGCCACAGUGGAAUGUUAUCAUUGUCACAAACUCGGACAUUUCCAAUCCGAGUGUCCAGCAUGGGACAAAGAGGCUAAUUAUGCUGAGUUUGAUGAACACGAGGAGAUGUUGUUAAUGGCUUAUGUAGAGGAGCAACAAGCCAACCGUAAGGACGCAUGGUUUUUGGAUUCAGGCUGUUCUAAUCACAUGUGUGGCGACGCAAUGAUGUUCAAUGAAUUAGACGAGACUUUUAGACACCAUGUGAAGUUGGGGAAUAACACCAGAAUGCCGGUUAAAGGGAGAGGAAAUGUCAAAUUGCAAGUGAAUGGCUUCAAGCAUGUCAUUACGGGAGUGUUCUACGUGCCGAAACUAAAGAACAAUCUUCUGAGUGUAGGCCAGUUACAAGAAAAGGGACUUGCAAUCCUAAUCGAGGCGGGAAUGUGCAAGAUCUACCACCCAGAAAAGGGUUUGAUUAUUCAAACCAAGAUGUCAGUAAAUCGAAUGUUCAUCUUGUUUACAAAUGUACAAGAAAGGAAGGUUGCAUGUCAUUACACUAGUACGCAAGAUCUCACUCACUUAUGGCACUGCAGAUAUGGUCAUCUCAGUCAUAAAGGUUUAAAAACGCUACAAACCAAGAAUAUGGUACGCGGACUGCCUCAUUUGCCGGCCACCACAAUGAUGUGUACUGAUUGUUUGAAGGGAAAGCAACACCGAGAUCCUAUACCUAAGGAAGGUACCUGGAGAGCAACUCAAAAGCUGGAGCUCAUACAUGCAGACAUUUGCGGUCCAAUAAAUCCUAUGUCAAAUAGCCAAAAGAGGUAUAUAUUAUGCUUUAUCGACGACUUCAGUAGGAAAGCAUGGGUUUAUUUCUUAGUUGAAAAAUCAGAAGCUUUAAAUUCAUUUAAAUGCUUUAAGAAAUUGGUCGAAAAAGAAACAAAUAUGAAUAUCAAGUGUUUGCGCACCGAUAGAGGAGGUGAAUUUACAUCAAACGAGUUUAAUGAUUUUUGCAGACAAAGUGGCAUCAAAAGACAACUUACAGUUGCUUAUACUCCACAGCAAAAUGGAGUGGCGGAAAGGAAAAACCGAACGGUGAUGAAUUUGGUUCGUUCAGUUCUUUCCGAAAAGAAGAUUCCAAAAAACUUUUGGCCUGAGGCAGUGAAUUGGAUCAUCUAUGUACUAAAUAGAAGCCCUACAGUAGCUAUCAUGAAUGUCACACCGGAGGAAGCAUGGUCUGGGAUAAAGCCCUCAGUGGGACAUUUUAGAGUCUUCGGGUGUAUGGCUCACGUCCACGUGCCAGAAGCUAAGAGAACCAAACUCGAGAACAAGAGCUUCGAAUGUAUUCUUCUUGGAGUUAGUGAAGAAUCGAAGGGGUACAGAUUGUAUGAUCCAAUAUCGAAAAGAGUGGUGACCAGCAGAGAUGUAGUGUUUGAAGAAGAUAGACAAUGGAAGUGGGAUGCAAAUUAUGAAGAACACGUGUUAGUGGAUCUGGAAUGGGGUGACGUUGACACUAAUACACAUGAGCAUGAGAUAGAUAAUGAUGAUUCAGCUAGUGAAAGCGAUGAAGGGGCUGAAAUCAACGAAGAAGAUCAAGCAUCGGAGAAUGAUACUACAAAUUCAGCGACUCAAGAAUCUAAUGCGAGGACAAGGAGAAUUUCUAAGGCUCCUGUUUGGAUGGAGGACUAUGUUAGUGGAGAUGGUUUAUCCGAGGAAGAAAGUGAACUGCAUAUGGCCUUAGUUAUCUCCGCAGAUCCUAUUAGUUAUGAAGAAGCCGUGAAGAACUCAAAGUGGAGAUUGGCAAUGGACGCGGAAAUUAAUUCCAUUGAGAAAAAUCAGACAUGGACUCUUAUUGAGUUGCCUGCUGGAUCUAAAAGUAUUGGAGUCAAAUGGAUAUACAAAACGAAGUUGAAUGAGCUAGGAGAAGUUGACAAAUAUAAAGCUCGAUUGGUGGCCAAGGGAUACUCUCAACAACAAGGAGUAGAUUUCACCGAAGUAUUUGCUCCAGUAGCUCGAAUGGAUACGAUAAGGAUGAUAGUAGCAACUGCUGCCCAAAGAAAUUGGAAAAUCUACCAGCUAGAUGUUAAAUCGGCAUUUCUCCAUGGUGAACUCAAUGAGAACGUGUAUGUGGAACAGCCAAAGGGUUACGAAAAGAAGGGAAGUGAGCAUAUGGUAUAUAAGUUGCAUAAAGCUUUAUACGGAUUAAAACAAGCUCCUCGAGCUUGGUUUAGUCGUAUUGAAGCUUAUUUCAUCAGUGAAGGUUUCCAGAAGUGCCCAAACGAGCAGACCUUAUUCACAAAAAGAAGCAGCGAAGGUAAAGUGUUGAUAGUUAGUAUUUAUGUGGACGACUUGAUCUAUACCGGUGAUGAUGAAAUUAUGAUGUUUGAAUUUAAGAGGUCUAUGAUGAAAGUCUUUGACAUGACAAAUUUAGGAAAUAUGAGAUUUUUUCUCGGCAUUGAGGUUUUGCAAAAGUCUGAUGGCAUUUUUAUCUGUCAAAGAAAAUAUGUUAACGAAGUUUUGAGGCGUUUUGGAAUGAUUGAAAGUAAACCAGUGAGUAGUCCAGUUGUGCAAGGAUCCAAAAUAAGCAGAGAUGAUGACGGACCACCGGUUGAUGAGACGUAUUUCAAGCAAUUGGUAGGGAGUUUGAUGUACCUCACUGCAACUCGUCCGGAUAUAAUGUUUAGUGUUAGCCUGAUCAGUAGGUACAUGGCUAAACCCACUGAACUUCACUUGCAGGCUGCGAAGAGGAUUUUGAGAUAUUUAAAAGGCACAACCAACUACGGAAUUAUGUACAAGAAGGGAGGGGAAGACGAAAGUAUACAUGCUUUUACAGAUAGUGAUUAUGCAGGUGAUGUUGACGAUCGUAAAAGCACAUCGGGCUAUGUAUUUAUUUUGAGUUCAGGAGCAGUUUCAUGGUUGUCAAAGAAACAACCCAUAGUCACUUUGUCAACAACUGAAGCCGAAUUCGUGGCAGCUGCUACUUGUGCAUGUCAAGCUAUAUGGAUCAUGAGGGUGUUGAAGAGAUUGGGUCAUACACAAGAAGGUUGCACUACUAUUAUGUGCGAUAACAGUUCGACGAUUAAGCUCUCUAGAAAUCCAGUUAUGCACGGAAGAAGUAAGCACAUUGAUGUGCGUUUUCACUUCUUGAGAGAUCUUACAAAGGACGGCAAAGUUGAAUUGAUUCACUGUGGAACUCAAGAGCAGGUGGCUGACUUGAUGACUAAACCAUUGAAACUAGAAGCUUUUCGGAAAUUCAGAGAGCUACUGGGAGUUUGUGAACUUAUAGAUGUAAACUAAUUGUACUCUGCAAUUGGUUUAAGGGAGGGAUUGAAAGGAGAUAAUGGUUUACUUAGUCAAAGUUUGCUUACUUAGUCUUGUUUCUGUUUGGGAUAAGUCCUAUUCUUUAGGAAUAUUGUUAUUCCAGCUAAUGUUUAUCUCGUAGCUUAAUUUUUGCUUUCUGUUAGAAUUGUACUAGGAUAUAUAUCCCAGAGUGCACAUCAAUAAGGUUGUUCAAGUCAUUCAUUCCAUCUCUGUUGUGAGUUUAUACAUUAUUUAUUCCCAACAGGAGGAACCUCAAAAUUAGGUUCGAAUUCUCGUCGAGCAGUUACUACCAUGGUUCGCCGGUGACGCAGCUGUAGCCGCCGGAACGGUGGUCACCGCGACAGAGUUCCGGCAUACAGCGGCUGCCGUGUUCUAAAAAUCUAAAAUAAGCGAUUUAUCGGCCGGAACGGUGAUAUACGGCGGCGAUUAAUCGGACGGAAAGGGGUCGAACGGCUUCUGGCGGUGUUUGUCGCGGCGGCGGAAAUGGGGUUUAGGGCUGGUGAAGCCGACAAUUUUACAAUAGUUCUGAUUUUCACUUUACGUUUUCAAAUGUUUCCAACUUAGUCCCUAAAUUUUAUGAUUUAUAUUCAAAUAAAGAAAUAGGAUAAAUUACACGGGUAAAUUACAAACACCCCCCUGAGGUAUGACCAAAUUACAAAAAUAC
rnacentral:lncRNA from 1 species